UCUCCGUUGGUGAACCAGCGGAGGGAUCAUUACCGAGUUUACAACUCCCUAAACCUUUGUGAACCUUACCGAAUCGUUGCCUCGGCGGGCCCUAAACCCGCCCGCCGGGGGUCAAGCAAACUAUUGUCUUCCAGCGGAAUCUUCUGAGUGGCACAAGCAAAAAUAAAUUAAAACUUUCAACAACGGAUCUCUUGGUUCUGGCAUCGAUGAAGAACGCAGC
rnacentral:misc_RNA from 1 species